rnacentral:rRNA from 1 species
AGUGAACGCUGGCGGUAGGCCUAACACAUGCAAGUCGAACGGCAGCACAGCAGUAGCAAUACUGUGGGUGGCGAGUGGCGGACGGGUGAGGAAUACAUCGGAAUCUACCUUUUCGUGGGGGAUAACGUAGGGAAACUUACGCUAAUACCGCAUACGACCUUAGGGUGAAAGCGGAGGACCUUCGGGCUUCGCGCGGAUAGAUGAGCCGAUGUCGGAUUAGCUAGUUGGCGGGGUAAAGGGCCCACCAAGGCUACGAUCCGUAGCUGGUCUGAGAGGAUGAUCAGCCACACUGGAACUGAGACACGGUCCAGACUCCUACGGGAGGCAGCAGUGGGGAA